GACGUUGCGACCUGUCAAAUAAUAUCCUAAGUAUAUGGCUAAUUUGUCUGUUUUAGGCAAUACCGCGAGGUAUUUCCUUUAACAGUUUUAGCCGUUUAUAUAUACUGGAUAUAAUUGACAGUAACGAAUCAUGGUGUUGAGCCACUUUGAAAUUGUAUAUUUAUAUGUAUAAUGGAAAGUGUCCUUGUGGCUGUUUGCAAGUGGGUUGGUUAAUUAGUUUUAGUCGGAUUUUGGUCCGUCUAGCUAUUCCGCCUACUGUUGGUAAACUGUUCCUUGGACAGUGCUUAUAACACCGGUCGGCAGCGAUUCAGGUUCAGGCUCUUAUCCGACCCGUCUUGAAACACGGACCAAGGAGUUUAGCGUGUACGCAAGUCAUUGGGUGUAUAAAACUCAAAGGCGCAAUGAAAUUGAAA
rnacentral:rRNA from 1 species